rnacentral:RNase_P_RNA from 17 species
UGAGGCAACCGGGUGAUUGCGUUCGACGAACUGGGGGAUUGCUCCCAAGCGUCGGCCGAGGAAAGUCCGGACUCCACAGAGCACGGUGGUUGUUAACAACAACCCGGAGCGAUCCGCGGGAAAGUGCAACAGAGAGUAAACCGCCAUCAACUUAGGUUGGUGGUAAGGGUGAAAGGGUGCGGUAAGAGCGCACCGGCAGGUCAGGUGACUGAUUUGGCCAGGUAAACCCCACCGGGAGCAAGGCAUGAGGACGUAUCCAAUGGUAUGUCUGUGCAGGUGUUGAAGGCUGCUCGCCAAGCCUGCAGGUAGCUGCUAGAGGCAGUCAGCAAUGGCUGCGACGAGAUGGAUGAUCGCCGCCGGUUGCUUUUGCAACUGGUACAGAAUCCGGCUUAUAGGUUGGCUCAUUCG